GUGGCAAUAUUAGGUCAAUAUACGUACAAUACGCGGACAUCCAUUUCAGACUACCUUCAAUUUUGACAUUCAAAAGAAAUCGCCCCCCACCAAAAUAUAAAGCAAACCAGCACUUACCCUCACCUAGCUGCACAAACCCUGGCAAAUGCAAAUUAUUAGAGGUCCAUCAAAAGAUCCAUGUCUUUGGCCUUCAUCCUCGCUGCAUGCACGAGGCUAUGAUGAGCCAUUCCCUCUCCACCCAUAUUCAACACCUACCGGACAUCAGCUACAUCAAUUUUGCUCCAAUUGUAGUCUGGUGAGACGAUCGAAGCAUAAUCUCGGAAUAUCUCGAAGCAGUUGAAACAUUCAACCAUUUCAUGGUUAUAUUCUUCAGAUUUUGUGAAUUUUUGGACAUCAUAUUUCUUUUUCUCUUUCAGAAUAAUAAUUGUCACAAUUUCUGGCCAUGACAAAACAACAUUUCAUUAACACAUUUGAAGCCACG
rnacentral:lncRNA from 1 species